UGGGGAAUAUUGCACAAUGGGCGCAAGCCUGAUGCAGCCAUGCCGCGUGUAUGAAGAAGGCCUUCGGGUUGUAAAGUACUUUCAGCGAGGAGGAAGGCGGUAAGGUUAAUAACCUUAUCGAUUGACGUUACUCGCAGAAGAAGCACCGGCUAACUCCGUGCCAGCAGCCGCGGUAAUACGGAGGGUGCAAGCGUUAAUCGGAAUUACUGGGCGUAAAGCGCACGCAGGCGGUCUGUCAAGUCGGAUGUGAAAUCCCCGGGCUCAACCUGGGAACUGCAUUCGAAACUGGCAGGCUAGAGUCUUGUAGAGGGGGGUAGAAUUCCAAGUGUAGCGGUGAAAUGCGUAGAGAUCUGGAGGAAUACCGGUGGCGAAGGCGGCCCCCUGGACAAAGACUGACGCUCAGGUGCGAAAGCGUGGGGAGCAAACA
rnacentral:rRNA from 1 species